CAGAUUUGGAAGGGAGUAUGUGUUUCACUUAGGACCCAGAGAAUGGGGAUAUAUGGGGUACUUCCCUAACAUUUAGACGCCCUGCUGUCUCCUAGUCUGGUCAUGAAUGCUUCUGAGGAGGUCUCAGGACGCUUGACGUCAUCAGGUGGAACCGCGCACGCACUUCCUCCCUCUGCCAGUUCUCAAGUCAGCACAGCCCCGGGACCCCACGGUGUGGAAACACCACCCCACUGGUUCUCCUAGGGCAGUGUGGACAUUGUUUGGCCAUCUUUUUCCAGCUCUCAAUUUUUUUUCUCAGGUGCAUCUCGAUGAGAUGAGACCCAGCAAAAGAAAAGAAACCUUAACCUGGGAUCGAAAAAAAGCAUUUGAAAUAAAAUCAAUCAUCUUAGAAUCAGGGCGUGGCAAAGGAACACUCAGGACUGUGGGUAGUGGUAGGACACACUCACAUGUCUCACACAGAUGUGCAAAGGAAAUAGAGUUUGUUUCUUAAAACUUACGCGAUCUUCCUUACCGACCGCACUCUCCUGGAUGGUAGUAGUUAGGGAAAGACGCGGAAACCAACUUUAAACUUGCCAAUUAACGCUAUUCCAGAACCUUGGGAUUUAAAUAGUCGCUCUCGGAUGACUUAGUUUCUUUUGGUGUGCAAAUAAUAUGAUUGGGGCGGGGGAGUGAAGAGAGAAAAUGGAAAAGCAUCUCAAGAUGUGAGUAUUGCUUCUCCAAAAAGGGCUCUAACAACCUCAGAGAUUGCAAUUCCUUACAUGCAAUGGAAUGCCAAUGGAUUUUCAGUGGAACUUUUAAACACAGGCAUUAAAUACAUGAGGACACAGCCAAUGAAACAACAGAGGAAAUAUAAAGCCUUCACCACCAUCAAAUUGUCCUGUGACAAGAAAAGCACUUAGCUCUUAAUGUACUGAUGUGGCUCAUUCAUAGGACCACACAUGUCUGGUGAUGCCCUUUAAAACUGUGCUGGGAUUUUCUCCUUCCAGCUCUUCCAUACUUGCCCCCACGCCUCCACCCCCCGACCCCCACCCCUGUCGCCAUUGCAGGCUCCAAAAGAGUCAUACAAUAAUACAAUGCCAUUUUUUGAUGUUUUAACAUCAAAGAAUGCUCUGUAUAUCAGUCAGCUUUAGAUUUUGUUUAGUAAAAACAAAAGACAACUCCAGAGUUUGCAGAGAUGAAGAAAUGGGACCAUUUGCAGAAUCAAAUGAUUUUAUGAAAAACCAUUUGUAUUUUGCGGGGAAGGUGUUGUUGAUUUCUACUUACGGCUUUAGAUGACAACUAUGUGUAUGUGUAUAUGUAUAUCUGUUUUCCUUGGGUGGCUUUUUCAAAGUGUUUUCCCAUCCCCUACUAAUUCCACAUACUUAUCUCAACCAAACAGCUUUGUUUUUGAAACACUGAAGCUCAACUUGAUAAAAAUAUAAAAUAAAAAUUCCAAUGGUUUUGUUGAAAACCAGACCAUUCACCUUUGUACAGAAAAUAAAUGUACUAGAGAUUUUAACAGCUUUUCAAAAUGCCAUGUAUCUAUAGGUAAUCUAGUACGACUUUUAAAAUGUGAAUAUAUUACUUUGUGAAAGAUUUGUAAACCAACUUCUUUAGUUAGAACAUAAAAUACAAUAUGUAGUGGCUUAUUUAAAUACUUAUUUACUUUUAAAAGAAGCUGGGAAGUUUUCUUUGAAAGGACCAAUGCAAACUGAUAUUUAAAUACAUUUAACUUUCAAGUAGAACGGUGUGAAAUUUUCUGGUCUUCUGAAGAUAUUACUGGCUUUCAUGAAGUGGCAGUGGCUCAGUUCCCAUCUUACUUCACACCAGGUGGAGCUUUUUCCCAAAGGAUAUAGCACACUUGGUUUCCAUCAUGAUUGUAAUAUUCACUGAGUGACUACUAUGCCACUGACUCGCAGUAUCUCACUUAACCUCACAGGAAAUUUCUGAGGUUGGUACUAUUACACUCCAUGACACAGAGGGAGAUAUGCAGGUUAAGAGAGGGUGAGGUCACACGGAGGCCACACCGCUGGUCAGUGGCGGAACCAAGGUUUGAUUCCCAGUCUCUUUCCAUUAAGUUGCAUUGCCUCAUGGAAUAGGCAGAGGGAUGAAUGCAGCAGAAAGAGCACUGAAUUGUGAGUCAGGAAGCCUGGGCUUUUACCUUUUUUUCAGCCAAUAGCUGUAUAACUCUAGGAAUGGAAUGUCGUUGUCAUUUCACAUUGAUGAGAGGGCUGGACCAAAUGCUGCCAAGGCUCCAUAAAACUCAUAGGUCUAUGAUUUAAAUGGACAUUGCUAUAUGAAAGCAUGCAUACUGAAGUCCAGGAGCUCAGUAAUUAUCUCCUAUGUAUAUCAGCCAAAUAAAAUGCUCCAGUUCUUUGCCUACUUAAAAAAGACAUUAAAUAUUACUGAAAAUCCAAA
rnacentral:lncRNA from 1 species